rnacentral:rRNA from 1 species
UACGUAGGGUGCAAGCGUUAAUCGGAAUUACUGGGCGUAAAGGGUGCGUAGGUGGCGGGGUAAGUUUGAUGUGAAAUCUCCGAGCUCAACUCGGAAAUGGCAUUGAAUACUACUCUGCUCGAGGUUUGGAGGGGGGGACUGGAAUUCUCGGUGUAGCAGUGAAAUGCGUAGAUAUCGAGAGGAACACCAGUGGCGAAGGCGAGUCCCUGGACAACACCUGACACUGAGGCACGAAAGCUAGGGGAGCAAACAGG